AGUGAACGCUGGCGGUAUGCCUAACACAUGCAAGUCGAACGGAAACACAAUAAGCUCUUGCUCUUACGGGUAGCGGGUGACGGGCGAGUAACACAUGCAUAGGAAUCUACUUUUACGGGGAGGAUAACGUAGAAACGGUUCCACUAAUACCGCAUAUAUCGUACGGCUGGAAGCAGGAGAUAAUCGCGGCUUGCGCGACUGUAUUAGCUGGUGCCGCGUCGGAUUAGCUAGUUGGUAAGGUAACGGCCUAGCAAGGCAACGUUGCGUAGCCGAGCUGAGAGGGUGAUCGGCCACACUGGAACUGAGACACGGUCCAGACUCCUACGGGAGGCAGCAGUAGGGAAUCUUCGGCAAUGGGCGGAAGCCUGACGCAGCACCGCCGCGUGGGUGAAGAAGGUCUUCGGGUCGUAAAACUCUUUUGUUAGGAAAGAAAAGAAGUAGGUGAAUAUCCCGCCGUCUUGACGGUACCUAAAGAAUAAGCACCGGCUAACUACGUG
rnacentral:rRNA from 1 species